rnacentral:snRNA from 1 species
AACUCUGGUGUCUCCUCAUUUGCGAAUAAAUCGUUCGCCUUUUACUAAUGAUUUCCGUGGAGAGGCACAAUACAACAACAAUACAAUGUCGGUGUAUUCAUCAUAUCCAAU